UACGUAGGUGGCAAGCGUUGUCCGGAUUUACUGGGCGUAAAGAGCGCGCAGGCGGUCGGAUAAGUCGAAUGUGAAAGCCCCCGGCUCAACUGGGGAGGGUCACGCGAUACUGAUCGACUCGAAGGCAGGAGAGGGUAGUGGAAUUCCCGGUGUAGUGGUGAAAUGCGUAGAUAUCGGGAGGAACACCAGUGGCGAAGGCGACUACCUGGCCUGUUCUUGACGCUGAGGCGCGAAAGCUAGGGGAGCAAACGGGG
rnacentral:rRNA from 1 species